AUACGGAGGAUCCGAGCGUUAUCCGGAUUUAUUGGGUUUAAAGGGUGCGCAGGCGGCCAUUUAAGUCAGCGGUUAAAUCGUGGGGCUCAACCCCAUUCUGCCGUUGAUACUGGGUGGCUUGAUUGCGGUCGAGGUUGGCGGAAUUCGUUGUGUAGCGGUGAAAUGCAUAGAUAUGACGAAGAACACCGAUUGCGUAGGCAGCUGACCAGACCGCAAAUGACGCUCAUGCACGAAAGUGCGGGGAUCGAACAGGAUUAGAUACCCUGGUAGUCCGCACAGUAAACGAUGAAUACUUGUUUUCGGCGAUAUAAUGUCGGAGGCAAAGCGAAAGCGAUAAGUAUCCCACCUGGGGAGUACGCCGGCAACGGUGAAACUCAAAUGAAUUGACGGGG
rnacentral:rRNA from 1 species